rnacentral:tRNA from 1 species
GAGGGUGUAGCUCAGUGGUAGAGCGCGUGCUUAGCAUGCACGAAGUCCUGGGUUCAAUCCCCAGGACCUCCU